rnacentral:tRNA from 1 species
AUUCAAGUAAUUUAAUUAAAAUGUUGAUUUGUGGUGUCAAAUAUGUAUUCUUUUGCCUUGGAUU